UCUGUAGACAGCACUGCAGGAGGAUUAGUGAGUAGAUGGCUCGUGAGCCUGUAGGAAAAUGGUAGCGAUCAGGAGGCAUCAUCCUGGGUUCGCCAAGUACCAAUCCAGACAACACAAUCUCCUUUACCUGGCUGAUGGCUUUCUAGACUCGUUGACAUGCAAGGCACCAUGGACGUGCUGUUUUCAAAUAUGGAAAGGUCUGCCGUGAAAAACUGAGCAGAGAUAUUGGCUGCAGUGUUAGCAACAGUGCUUGGCAGCCAGGCUGACAGACCCGGGUAAACGACAGUGAUGGAUGGCUUCGAGCAGGGCCCCUUAAUCUACCGUGCUGCCAUUGAUUAGUUUGGCUGCACAGCACCCCGGGGUGGUGGACGU